GCUGUUUGUCGCCCCGCGCUACAGCUGUGGAUAGACAUCCACUGGCCCGACUGGCCUCCUCACCUCUCUCUCUCAUUUCUCUCUCUCCCACGCGAUCCCCAAAUCGCCGCCCCUGCCGCCGGCCUCCCCUGCCAACUCCGGCGAGCUCUGGCGCCGUCCAGCAUACCCACGGCUCCCCCUCACCGAGCUCUACCUGCUCCACCUCUUCGAUCUGCUUUCCCCUGCCUCGUGUGGUCGCUCGCUUCGGUCAAACCUCGCUAGGGUUUCGGUGCUUGCGGGGCUAGGUCGCCGGCGUGGUUCCGGCGCCUUGCUCCGGUGUGACUUGAAUCCUGGCUGUGCCUAGGUGUCGCACGCGUCACUGAUGCGGCCCUGGUCGCUGGCGAUGCGGCGGUCGCCUGCCUCUCCACGGCUUCGCGUACCUCGCCUCCUGCCGCCGUGUGAUGGCGGUGAGUUGGCCACACCGCAACCGCGGCGGUGGCGAUGCACGGCCUUGGCUAUAACCCCUUCAUGGUGAGCUUCUCCUUCUCUGCCCUACUGCUGCCUCUACUGCCUAGACCAUGGCUGCGGUGAUCUUGGUCCUCUUCGUGUACUGGUAAUAUGACUUAGGUUUUUGAGGACGCUUGGAUUGAUGGCUAUGGUCUGCUACUUGAUUUGUGCUUUACUGAAAUUAGUUGGGGUAGUUGGUUACUGUUUAGGGUUCAUAUUUGGGCCUAGAUUUGUUGAUGUGCUAAUGCUCCUGUUGAUCCACUAGUCCAUACUCUAGUUCUAGUUCAUGCCUAUGGACUGGUCGUUGGGGAUUUGGUGCUGCUGGUGGUCCUAUGUGCACUUGUUUGAUAUACUAGCACUUUAUCGUUAAUUGACAGUUAAACCAUUAACCUACCAUGCAUAUAGAUGUGUUCCUGUGGAAUUGAUGCUACUUUAACUCUGUGAUCAACUUGUGGUCAUGAUCUAGUUCUGGUUGUAGUUCUUGUUAUUUAAAUGUUCCUUUUAUUUCAGUUUCUCUUGCUGCAAGUAUAAUUACAUGCUUAUAUUCUUGUUGGUCACUUGUUACUCUUCAAGCUGGUAUCUGUGUUUAAUACAUAUUAGUUUUUAUUUAAAUACCAUGUACUGGUAUUUCUUGUUCUGUUUAGUACAUCAUCUUUUAGUGGUUUAGUUGUAUAUAGUGCACAUCACAUAGUCCUGGUAGUUGCAUGUGGUGACACUUCUUUUAUUGCUUUAGUUAUAUCAGAUGUUUCUUUUACAUGCUUAAUAAUUAACAGUAUCAUUGGUUUAAAGGACAUAGCCCUUUAUUUAUAGAUACUUAUAUUGCUUUACCUGGUUCAGUUUAGAAUAGAUGCUCUCUUGGUCUUAGCUUUUCUCUCAUCCUUUCUUUCCUCCUCUUCUAAACUCUACUGAUAAGAACAGUUGCUCCUUGAUCGUAACCAAGCCCAUGAUGCUGGUCUGAGGCUCCUUGACCUUAACGACUUGGCUCUCCAAGCAACAAAAUCAGUUCAGCUGCGCUCUUGGUUCCUCUUUCUUGCUUAUUGGUCAGAUUCUGAAUCUAGAUUCUACUAUUUUGGUUCAUAUUCCAUUGAUUUGGUACGCUACAUCUACAUUGAUGCAUCAACUCUGCUCCAUAAAUAUGGAUACAUGUUUGCAGGCAGUUUUCUUCGACAGUUUUGUGUUGCCAUUGCUCCCAGUCAUCAGAUUCUGUUAAUUGAAAAGGAUCCAAACAAGGCAGUUCCAUUGUUCUGAGCAGCUCUUAACAGUGGUGAACAAUUGAGAGUGCAUUGAAGGAUAUGGCUACUGUACUGAAACAAGCAAACCGGGCUGAAGAAGCCAUCGAUGCGAUAAGAUCCUUCCGUGACCGUUGUCCAAAUGAAGCUCGGGAGUCUCUUGACAAUAUUCUUCUUGACCUAUACAAGGUAUCUCGGGCCUGUAAAUUUACGUAUAUAAUGUAAUAAUAAACCCAUAUCACAUUUGUGUAUGAAUUGGUAGCCUAGUAUUUAUAACAAUCUUUGUCUGUGUUGAACCAGAAAUGCGUAGGGAACACAUGGACAUGAAGCCACGGCGGCGACGAAUACGAUAUCGACAUUGGGCUGCGGCGACGAUGAUGACGACGACAUCGGCAUCGACACAGGGCUACAGCGGCGACGAAGACGACGACAUCGUCAUGGUGCUGCUGCGGCAGUGACGACGACGACAUCAACACGGCCUUGUGGAGGCGCCGACGCCGACGACAUAGACGCGUGGCAUAUAUUGUGUGUGUGUUUGUGCGCGUGCGUGUGUGUGUGCGUGUGCGUGUGUUAAUUAUCUACAUCAGAUAUGUAUGAUUGAUGAUUGACUGUAUGCAUAACAUGUACGUAUUGUGAAAUGCAUGUCUAAACUGAAAUAGGUAGACUUUUUUAAAAAAAAAUCCUAAUUUGUUACUAGUAGCGUGGGUGUAU